rnacentral:rRNA from 1 species
UGUUGAGCAACCUUUGAUCCGGGGGUUUCCGAAUCGGGAAACCGGAUGCAGGCUUAACCUGCAUCAUCUUAUUAGAUUUUCUAAUAAGAAGCGAACCCGCUGAAGUAAAACAUUUCAGUAAGCGGAGGAAAAGAAAAAAAAUUGCCUUUUUAUUUUUUUCUUAUUUUUAUUUUUUAGAUAUUUUAAAUAUUUUAAUAAUUUGAUAAGAAAAAAAUAAAAAGCACAUUCCCUUAGUAGUGGCGAGCGAACAGGGAGGAGCCCAAACUGCUUUACAUUUUGUAAAGCAGGGUUGUAAGAAAGUAUUGUCCGGAGCAAUCCGGAGGGAGAACAUUUAGAUAAAGCUUCGUUAAUUGAAUGCUCCUGGAAAGGACAACCAUAGAGGGUAAUAGUCCCGUAAAUGAAAACGGCUUUAUGCUCCUUGAUACUUUUCUUGAGUACUUUAAGGCAUGAUAACCUUGAAGGAAGCAGGCCGAACUAUCGGCCAAGGCUAAAUACUACGAUAUCUCCGAUAGUGAACAAGUACCGUGAGGGAAAGGUGAAAAGCAGGGAGGUGAUCCCGGUGAAAUAGUACCUGAAACCAUUUUGCCCACAAAGACUCGGAGCUUUACGUUUUUACGUAAGGUGACGGGGUGCCUAUUGAAGAAUGAGCCAACGAGUGCUUUACAUUGCUUUAUUUAAGCGCCUCCGGCGCGUAAGUAUAGUGAAAGCAAGGGUGAAUAGCCCGACCUUAAGCGAUGUAGAGCGACCCGAAGCCAAUGCGAGCUUACCAUGGACAGGGUGAAUCUCGUAGAAAUACGAGAGGAGGCCCGAACCCGUGAGCCGUGCAAUACUCUGGGAUGAUCUGUGGUAAGUAGUGAAAAGCUAAUCGAGCUUGGUAAUAGCUGGUUCUCUCCGAAAUAGCUUUAGGGCUAGCGCCUACAAUACUUUUUGCAGGUAGAGCACUAGAAGGGAUAUCGUGCCGUACGGUAGGUAUUCCUACUAAACUCCGAAUAGUAAAAAGAUUAAUGUAGGUAGUCAGACUGUGGGGGCUAAGCUCCAUGGUCGAAAGGGAAACAGCCCAGAUCUUCAUCUAAGGUCCCUAAACUUUCUGAUUUAUCAGAAUCUUAGUUUUUUAAACUAAGAGAGCUAAGUGCUAUGAAGGAAGUAGAAUUCCUUUGAUAGUUAGGAGGUUAGCUCAGAAGCAGCUAUCCUUUAAAAAGUGCGUAACAGCUUACUAACUAAGGAAUUCUGCGCCAAAGAUUUAACGGGGCUAAGCUCAGUACCGAAGAUAAGGAUUUGCUUAUGUUUUACAUAAGCAAAUGGUAGGAGAGCGUUCUUAACACACUGAAGCUGAAGGGCGACCAACAGUGGAGUGUUAAGAAGUGAGAAUGUUGGCACGAGUAACCGCAAUCCCGAUAAAAACUCGGGACACCGAAAACCUAAGGUUUCCUUGACAAUGACAAUCAGUCAAGGGUUAGGCGGGCCUAACUUUUUAUCCGAAAGGAUAAAAGGGAUGGACAGCCGGUUAAUAUUCCGGCCCUUCUAUAGUUUUAACUAAAGUGACGAAGACAUUGAGUUUAAGAGUAUUAUUGGAUUUACUUUGCCUUGCAAAAGGCAGGAGAUUUAACUACGGUUAAAUCAACUUAAAUGAUAUUUCUUCCUAGAAAAGCUUUAGUAGAAUUCUAUAGAAUCCGUACCGAAAACCGACACAGGUGGGUUGGUAUAAAUGUACCAAGGUGAAUGAGUGAAAGCUCCUGAAGGAACUCGGCAAAAAAGUGUCCGUAAGUUCGCGAUAUGGACUUCCAAUGCAUUGCAUUGGACGCAGCGAACGUACCCCUAGCGACUGUUUAUCAAAAACACAGGUCCCUGCUUAACUCGUAAGAGGAUGUAUAGGGGCUGAGGCCUGACCAGUGCUGGAACGUUAAUCUCGUCGGUCUUAUUAGUUUUCUAAUAAGGCUGAAUGAGUGAAGCGCCAGUGAACGUCGGCGGUAACUAUAACCGUCCAAAGGUAGCGUAAUCCCUUGCCGGGUAAGUUCCGGCCCGCAUGAAAGGCUUAACGACUAGGGGACUGUCUCCAGGAGUUGCUCAGUGAAAAUGCAACACCGGUAAAGAUGCCGGUUACCUGCGGCUAGACGGGAAGACCCCAGGAGCUUUACUGCAGUUAAAUAUUGAGUUUUGGUUUUAAAUGCGUAGCGUAGGUGGGAGACUAUGAAGCCUCGAUUUCGGUCGGGGUGGAGUCGCCAAUGAAACACCACUCUUUUAAAACCUUUAUUCUAAUCUCGCUUUUGCGGGAAACAGUGUUUGACGGGCAGUUUAAGUGGGGUCCUUGCCUCCUAAAAAGUAAUGGAGGCGUUUAAAAGGUCGGCUAGCUCCGGAUGGAAAUCGGAGCGAUAGCGCAAAGGCAUAAGCCGGCUUUACUGCAAGAGGGAUAACUCGCGCAGUUGGGAAACCAGAACUUAGUGAACCGACGGAUUUUCAUAGAAAAUCCGGAGAUCAUCAAACAAAAGUUACCCUGGGGAUAACAGGCUAGUAGAGCCCGCGAGUCCACAUCAACGGCUCUGUUCGGCACCUCGAUGUCGGCUCACCUUAUCCUGGGGCUGGAGAAGGUCCCAAGGGUUGGGCUGUUCGCCCAUUAAAAAGGUACGUGAGCUGGGUUCAAACCGUCGUGAGACAGGUUGGUCCCUAUCUACCGCAGGCGUAAAAUCUUGAGGGGAGUUGUUCCUAGUACGAGAGGACCGGAACGAACUGACCUCUGGUCUACCAGUUGUUCUGCCAAGAGCAUCGCUGGGUAGCUAUGUCGGGAAAGGAUAAGCGCUGAAAGCAUAUAAAGCGCGAAGCCUACCCCAAGAUUAGGAUUUUUAGCUUCCUCAAAGAUGAUGAGGUUGAUAGGCUACAGGUGUAAGUGGAGUAAUCCAUUAAGCCGAGUAGUACUAAUAAAGCGAUCAAAUUUAUUU